CUGCGGAGGGAUCAUUACCGAGUUUACAACUCCCAAACCCAAUGUGAACGUUACCAAACUGUUGCCUCGGCGGGAUCUCUGCCCCGGGUGCGUCGCAGCCCCGGACCAAGGCGCCCGCCGGAGGACCAACCAAAACUCUUUUUGUAUACCCCCUCGCGGGUUUUUUAUAAUCUGAGCCUUCUCGGCGCCUCUCGUAGGCGUUUCGAAAAUGAAUCAAAACUUUCAACAACGGAUCUCUUGGUUCUGGCAUCGAUGAAGAACGCAGCGAAAUGCGAUAAGUAAUGUGAAUUGCAGAAUUCAGUGAAUCAUCGAAUCUUUGAACGCACAUUGCGCCCGCCAGUAUUCUGGCGGGCAUGCCUGUCCGAGCGUCAUUUCAACCCUCGAACCCCUCCGGGGGGUCGGCGUUGGGGAUCGGCCCUGCCUCUUGGCGGUGGCCGUCUCCGAAAUACAGUGGCGGUCUCGCCGCAGCCUCUCCUGCGCAGUAGUUUGCACACUCGCAUCGGGAGCGCGGCGCGUCCACAGCCGUUAAACACCCAACUUCUGAAAUGUUGACCUCGGAUCAGGUAGGAAUACCCGCUGAACUUAAGCAUAUC
rnacentral:rRNA from 1 species